rnacentral:piRNA from 1 species
UGAUAGUUGGACAGAAUACAACAGGUGGGGU